rnacentral:rRNA from 1 species
GACGAACGCUGGCGGCGUGCUUAACACAUGCAAGUCGAACGGAAAGGCCCUGCUUUUGUGGGGUGCUCGAGUGGCGAACGGGUGAGUAACACGUGAGUAACCUGCCCUUGACUUUGGGAUAACUUCAGGAAACUGGGGCUAAUACCGGAUAGGAGCUCCUGCUGCAUGGUGGGGGUUGGAAAGUUUCGGCGGUUGGGGAUGGACUCACGGCUUAUCAGCUUGUUGGUGGGGUAGUGGCUUACCAAGGCUUUGACGGGUAGCCGGCCUGAGAGGGUGACCGGCCACAUUGGGACUGAGAUACGGCCCAGACUCCUACGGGAGGCAGCAGUGGGGAAUAUUGCACAAUGGGCGGAAGCCUGAUGCAGCAACGCCGCGUGCGGGAUGACGGCCUUCGGGUUGUAAACCGCUUACGCCUGUGACGAAGCGUGAGUGACGGUAAUGGGUAAAGAAGCACCGGCUAACUACGUG